GGAUUAGGCAUGCAAGUCGAACGAGAUUUUUCGUUGUAGCAAUACGAUGGAAAAUUUAGUGGCGAACGGGUGCUUAACACGUGGGCAACCUGCCAUGAAGUGGGGGAUAGCUCGCCGAAAGGCGAAUUAAUACCGCAUGUGAUUAGAGAGGACAUCCUUUCGAAAUUAAAGUCGGGGCAACCUGACGCUUCUUGUGGGGCCCGCGGCCUAUCAGCUAGUUGGUGAGGUAACGGCUCACCAAGGCUUUGACGGGUAUCUGGUCUGAGAGGACGACCAGCCACACUGGGACUGAGACACGGCCCANACACCUACGGGUGGCAGCAGUCGAGAAUUUUUGACAAUGGGGGAAACCCUGAUCGAGCGACGCCGCGUGGAGGAUGAAGGUCUUCGGAUUGUAAACUCCUGUCAUUUGGAACAAGGUGCACACGUAAACUGCGUGCGUAUUGAUAGUACCAGAAGAGGAAGGGACGGCUUAACUCUGUGCCAGCAGCCGCGGUAAUACAGAGGUCUCAAGCGUUGUUCGGAUUCAUUGGGCGUAAAGGGUGCGUAGGCGGCGCGGUAAGUCGGGUGUGAAAUCUCGGAGCUUAACUCCGAAACUGCAUUCGAUACUGCCGUGCUUGAGGACUGGAGAGGAGACUGGAAUUUACGGUGUAGCGGUGAAAUGCGUAGAUAUCGUAAGGAAGACCAGUGGCGAAGGCGGGUCUCUGGACAGUUCCUGACGCUGAGGCACGAAGGUCAGGGGAGCAAACGGGAUUAGAUACCCCGGUAGUCCUGACAGUAAACGGUGCACGUUUGGUGUGGGAGGAUUCGACCCCUUCUGCGCCGGAGCUAACGCGUUAAACGUGCCGCCUGGGGAGUAUGGUCGCAAGGC
rnacentral:rRNA from 1 species